rnacentral:rRNA from 1 species
UACGUAGGGUGCGAGCGUUAAUCGGAAUUACUGGGCGUAAAGCGUGCGCAGGCGGUUCGUGAUGUCUGGUGUGAAAGCCCCGGGCUUAACCUGGGAAUUGCAUUGGAAACUAGCGGGCUUGAGUGUGGCAGAGGGGGGUGGAAUUCCACGUGUAGCAGUGAAAUGCGUAGAGAUGUGGAGGAACACCGAUGGCGAAGGCAGCCCCCUGGGCCAACACUGACGCUCAGGCACGAAAGCGUGGGGAGCAAACAGG